UACGUAGGGCGCAAGCGUUGUCCGGAAUUAUUGGGCGUAAAGGGCUCGUAGGCGGUCUGUUGCGUCGGGAGUGAAAACUCAGGGCUUAACCCUGAGCCUGCUUCCGAUACGGGCAGACUAGAGGUAUGCAGGGGAGAAUGGAAUUCCUGGUGUAGCGGUGAAAUGCGCAGAUAUCAGGAAGAACACCCGUGGCGAAGGCGGUUCUCUGGAACGCAACUGACGCUGAGACGCGAAAGCGUGGGGAGCAAACAGG
rnacentral:rRNA from 1 species